rnacentral:rRNA from 1 species
GAUGAACGCUGGCGGUCUGCUUAACACAUGCAAGUCGAACGGAAUCCCUCGGGAUUUAGUGGCGGACGGGUGAGUAACACGUAAGAACCUGCCUCUAGGACGGGGACAACAGUUGGAAACGACUGCUAAACCCGGAUGAGCCGAAAGGUAAAAGAUUUAUCGCCUAGAGAGGGGCUUGCGUCCGAUUAGCUAGUUGGUAAGGUAAAGGCUUACCAAGGCGACGAUCAGUAGCUGGUCUUAGAGGAUGAUCAGCCACGCUGGGACUGAGACACGGCCCAGACUCCUACGGGAGGCAGCAGUGGGGAAUUUUCCGCAAUGGGCGAAAGCCUGACGGAGCAAGACCGCGUGGGGGAGGAAGGUUCUUGGAUUGUCAACCUCUUUUCUCAGGGAAGAACAAAAUGACGGUACCUGAGGAAAAAGCAUCGGCUAACUCCGUGCCAGCCGCCGCAGUAACAC